CCUACGGGAGGCAGCAGUGAGGAAUAUUGGUCAAUGGGCGCGAGCCUGAACCAGCCAAGUAGCGUGAAGGAUGACGGCCCUACGGGUUGUAAACUUCUUUUAUACAGGAAUAAAGUGAGACACGUGUGCCUUUUUGUAUGUACUUUAUGAAUAAGGAUCGGCUAACUCCGUGCCAGCAGCCGCGGUAAUACGGAGGAUCCGAGCGUUAUCCGGAUUUAUUGGGUUUAAAGGGAGCGGAGAUGGGUUGUUAAGUCAGUUGUGAAAGGUUGCGGCUCAACCGUAGAAGUGCAAUUGAUACUGGCAGUCUUGAGUACAGGUGAGGUAGGAGGAAUGCGUGGUGUAGCGGUGAAAUGCUUAGAUAUCGCGAAGAACUCCGAUUGCGAAGGCAGCUUACU
rnacentral:rRNA from 1 species